AUUGCCGUCCGUCCGGUCCAGUCUCGGGGCAAAAGGGGACCCCCUUUGUACAUUUUAUCAUAAAACAGCUCGACCGGAAAACAAUUAUACGACGUUUUGACAUUUUCUCGAUAGUAAUUAUUUGCAACGGUUCAAAAUAAUUAAGAGAAAUCGAAUUAAAUUAAAAAGCGCGUUUUUUUCCCCCGACGCGAAUCGUUGUAGUACAUAGCAUAAUAUUGUGUUGCUAUUAUUACGGCACCAGACGGACGGAGAAAACGAAUUACGCGCAGAGGCCCCAGAAUCCAAUAAUAAUUUUUAGUUAAUUUUGU